rnacentral:sRNA from 1 species
UGUGUGUGUGUGUGUUGGGGCUUGAUUAAACAUAGUAGGAUUGUCUUGAAAGGGCGGUGACAUUGUCUUGGCUGAAAGCAGCAAGGUUAUAUCAGAGGUCAAAAACCAAGCAUUUGCCAUCAUUUGGUACCCCCUUGAGCCGAUCGAACAUGUCAGUCACUCACAGUGGUUCCCUGAAAGCAGCCCUUCCUUACGCCUCCUACAGGCUGGCUGGCACCUACAAUUGUGGAUGUUUCACUAACGACGGUUACCAUGACGUCGAAGUUUGUUGUCACUUUACUAUUUCUAAAACGCUUUCCUUUAGGCUUUGAAGGUUCACAGCAACUACUUAAGAAGCCAGGACACGGAUCCAGAAAGGGGAAAAUAUCCCAGCAGUGCUCCGGUGAGCACUGAACGUGAACUAGAGUCAGAGGUAGACCCAGCACGGACAGUAACAUUGAGAAGGACGCGGCCUGUUUCAUUAAAUCAAAGCUGACUGCAUAGUGGUGGCAUUUGGAUUAAUUCCAGACCUUCUGAAGGUGUGCUUUCUACAUCGGCUUGUCUUCCAUACAGACAGUACUGAGCUCAUACCCCUGUGUACCCGAACCUGUUCCUGUGAGUUACCUUCUUCCUAAAGUGACAUUUGAGGUCAAAAUGUAUGCCCUCCUCGACAACAGCUAAGUUUGACUUAUGGGAAAUUUACGAAUAUAACACAGAGGUUGUUUGGCAGUAAAGGAGAAUAGAGCUACAGCGUGGAUGAACCGUGACGAGUAGGUGGAGGGAGUCACAAAGCCCACCUGAUCUACGAGUCCAUUGGUGUACAAUGUCCAGAUUAGGCAAAUGUACAAGAACAGAAGGUAGUCUGGUGGCUGCAGGGGGCCUGAGGAAGAUGGGUGUAAGAAGUGGCUGCUUAACGGAGCCCGGUUUCCUCUUGAGGUGAUAAAAAUGUUCUGCAGUUAGAUGUGCAGGCGGUGGUUGCCCAACUCUGAGAGUAUCAUAAAAUCAUUGAAUUGUACAAUUUAAGAGGAUGGGGUUUAUGGCACAUAAAUUAUAUCCCAGUAGAGCUGGAUUCUAAGAGAAAACAGUACAUCGAGUUCUGUGUACCCCUUGCCUAAGUUUCCCUAAUGCUCUCAAUGGGGAAUGACUGGACAAAUUGUACCACAGUUGUACUGUGGAAUAUUAAAAAUGCAGAACAGCA